rnacentral:rRNA from 1 species
GGUUGACCUCGGAUCAGGUAGGGAUACCCGCUGAACUUAAGCAUAUCAAUAAGCGGAGGAAAAGAAACCAACAGGGAUUGCCCUAGUAACGGCGAGUGAAGCGGCAAGAGCUCAAAUUUGAAAGCUGGCUCCUUCGGGGUCCGCAUUGUAAUUUGCAGAGGAUGCUUCGGGAGUGGCCC